GAUACCAAAAUGGGAAAACUUAAUCUGAAGCCAAGGUACUAUUUUGAUUUAGACUAAAAGACAACCUUUUUUUUUAUUUUUUAGCUAAGUUCCCGAUACUUCUAAUACUCUUCUCAUUUUUCCCAUGGGUUUGCCAGAUAAGUAUAUGCACCUCAAGAAUAAUCAACUGAAGACUGAUGGAAGUUGGUGGAUGAAUACCCCAUUUCCUUCUCCUCAGUUUUUAGCGAUAUUAACCCUGAGGCACUGCCUAAUGCACUAACUGACCUUCAUUCUUCAGAAUUCAACUUAGAAGUUGCCUCUUCAUGGAAUCUGUCUGAUUUCCUCUCUCGGACAUGCAAGGUUCGAUCAGGAAUCUUUUCCACAGGCUCUCUGACACGUAGAAGGUGGCCAAUGUUUGUUCAUUAAUGGAUGACGUGUCUCUAGGUGAAAAGCACAUGCGAGAAGUAUGGCAUGAGGCCUCACAUAUAUUCAGUUCCCCAACGGUUUCCUGCAGAUGCGUUGCUCCAGCUCCAGUCUGAUCUCUGGUCAAGGUCCUCCCCCUUCUGGAGGAUAUAUUGAUUAGUGCUCUCUGGGGACAGUUCUAUUGAUAAUCUGGCUCUUCUCAGAAACACACAGCAUAAACAACCUUUCAGAUUUAUCCCAGCCUCCCUUGCUCAAUGUUAGCUGUUUCUCCUGGAAAUAUCGGUUUGGGGAGGAGAUGUUUAUUACCCCUAUGUCAUUUCUCAAGCCACGUUGGACACAUGAAGCCAAGCAAACAAUGGACUGUAACUGCUAAAAUAUGAGGAUCAAGUCUUCUACUUCAGCAUCUGGCCUUGUCCAGGAAGCUAUUUCUUUUCCUGCAGAGACUUGUGGCAACAAAGUGGACUCCCCAAGUUACAGCAUCCAAGCAAACAAGCACUAAGUCACAUCUCUACAUUUCAAACAAAAGUACCUAAAAUAGACUUUUAGUGUUCUGAACUUGAAGUUACUGUACUUGCAAAUGACAUCGGAUUAAUUUCUUGGCCUGCAUCCAAAGUAAAUGGACUUGUGUUCAUUGAGUUUUAAGGUAAAUGUGUCUUCUGUAUAUCUGCAAUAGUCGAGUGGUAGCAAAUAGCUGAUAAGCCAUUGAGGGAUUCAUUAGUCAUUUUCAGAAGGCUUUUCAACCAGGAGGUCCAUCUACUGAGCAGCUGCAAGCACGUUCCCUGGAAACUGAAGCUAAAUGAACAGGAGAUUUGUUUUCUAGAAACCAACCCAAACAAGAAAAACUAUUCUACAAAGAAAAGUGAGGUAUCACCUCUGGGGUCUUUGGAUAAAAAAAGAUGCCCUGAUAGCCAUAUGGCUCAAGUCCACUGGAAAAAAUACUGAGAGGGCUCUACUAAAUGUCAAAUGUGGCUGACACUCUAGGUGGGGAAAAGAAUUAGAAAGUCAUUUGCCAAGAUCUCUCAGUGAGUAGUGACUCUGUACUGAGUUUCCCACAUAAAUGAAGCAGAAGGGAACCAAGCCAAUAGGACCCUGAGUUUCGUGAGGUUGGCUUGUCUUCUAUGGCACACACAUGAAAUGAGACACAAGUGUACAGAAGUGGGACAGAUAACCAGCUAAUAACGUUCUUUUCCUUUGGCUUCGUGAUGUUGCAUAAGACAAAUCUCAAUAGGGAGACUAGUAGCUGAGCUCAAAACCCUGGUGGACACACACAUCUAUGCAUAGUCACAAAGGUUGGGAAACAAUAAACCAAAGACAGGAAGGGAAGGAAAUGUAACAGAGGGGUAUGAGAAUAUAGUCGGAUUCUCCAUUAUGUGAAGUUAGGUCCAGGCAAAGGCUAGAGACUAUAGCAAAUGACAGUCCUGAGCAGGUGCUCAGAGAACAGCUGUCUCACACACAAAGCUCAUCAUAUUAAAGCCACUCUGUUUACUGUAUAAUUAUAUUUACCUUUAAUGUCUACUGGGCAUUAUUCUUAUGUUCCAUUGUAGCCCAACCAAACAUUUCAUUUUGCAUGAUGAGAAGCCGAUUCUUUACUCUCUCCCUACUAAGCAUCAAUACAUUCUUUCAAAAGUACAGAUAAAUCAUGUAAAGGGGGACUAUCACUGGAUUGAGUUCUGACAGAGUUUGCACUGACAUUAUAUAAACUAUCAGGUAAAUGAAGUGACAAGGCUAACGAAGAUUGGGCUCUUUCCUGUCUGACUCCAUGUCUCAUUUUAAUCAAUAAAGCUCUUAGCAAAAUUCAA